GCAAAUCUUCAGGGGAAGAAAGCUGGCAGGAAGCUGCACUGCUUGUCUCAGAAAAUGGAACGGGCUGCUCUCCUGCAAAACAAUAUUAGGCUUCCUCCUCGGGGCAAUCCUGCUGAAUCUGAGGAUACAUUGAAGAAUUUCUCUGGCAUUUUCUGAAAUCACUUGACACUACUAGCUCUGCACUCAGCUGGACAGAGAAGCAGAGCUGACCACUCACAAGAGUAAAAGGGGAAGGGGAGUCACAGGCAGGGUUUCAGAAUCUGUUCGGACCAGGAGAGGGGUGAGGCCCACCUGAGCUGCUGGAUGAGGUCCUCCCCUUCCUUGAUCACGUUGACAGUCACCUGCAGGGUGGUCUGCUGCUGCUGGCCAAAGCGCUUGAUGAGGUCCUGCACGGCCUCCACCGACUCGGCAUACACGUCGUCCAGCAGCUCCUUCUGCAGCUCCUCCAGCCACGUCCACAGCUGGGGAAGGGGAGAGGGGGGUGAGGCCGGCCGGCCUGGCUGCACCACCAGGUGGGCCGCCCGGUGUCCAAGGGGCCCCAGUGGAGACGGUGUGUGACUUGCCCUGGGAGGGGACUGGUGACAGACCACUCCCGGAGGGAAGGAAGGAAGGACGGGAGGGAGGGGCAUCCAGUCCCACUGCCAGCGGAACACAUGCACAACAAAAGCAGCAUGCCACCGCCGCAGGGAGGAAAAUAAACAGGCGAACGGCGGGCAGCACUGUCACAAAAGAGAAAAAGGAAAGGGAAGGGAAGCUGCUCUUUCCCAUUCUCCCGAGGCUCAAUCCAGACUGCAGUGGAAAUAAGAAAAGACCCUCAGUUCGCAGAAACAUCUGCUGAUAUGUCUCGGGCUCUUACUUAGCAGGUGGACACUUGUAUUUCAAUUUUUCAUUAUUAAACCACCGAUUUCCCCCGGAAGCACACAGAAGGAAGUGCACAAUGUGAUGAGAGGAAUUCACCACCGAGCCUGGCCAGGGACCAGGGUGUGGAGCUAGGGAGGUGACGGCACGAGCCCAGGCCCCACAAUCAGGCUGCCAACAGUUCGGGCCUUCAACGGAAAGAGUGUGCAUGCUGAAAAGAUGCAGACACCUCCACUGCCACCACCAUAAAACAGGCUGCUGGAGACCUAGAUGAGUAAAGACACCCUGGAAUGAGAGUGGCAAGAAUGACUUUGGGCCAGGUGGGAGCCAGGGAGCAGAGCCUACUUCCUGAAAGUCCAUUAACUCCUGCAGAUCUCUGGGGUACUAUUCACGGAACUGAAAAAGACAAUUAAUUACAUUAAAUGGGCCCUGGUGGCUUGUAUGUAGAGAAAAUGCUUUCAGCCUCCUCAGGGACUAAGAGUCAGCUCACGCAUCUUCUGUAUGUCUAGUGGGGACAGCCGGCUCAGCUGGUGAGAUGGGGCAAGUCGGGACCUCCCGCUUGAUACCCUGUGCAACGCCUGCUGCCUCAAGACUCAUAAGUCAAAACUGCACUUGCAGAAAGAAACUGUGUGUGCAUGUGGUCUUCUGUUUCCAAGCCAAGCUUUUUACAAAACGGCUUUACUGAGGACUAACUGACAUACUAUAAGCUGCACAAAUGUAAAGUGUCCAAUGUGAGUUCUGACAUUUGUCUAUACCCACUUCACCGUGAGCCUCUCCCUCACCUCAAAGCUGGCUGAUGCCCUCUGUCAUGCUCCCUCCCUGGCACUCACCUGCUCUCAGCCACUGGAGAUUACCUUGCAUUUUCUAAAAUAAUUUCUAGAACUGGAAUGGGACA
ensembl:lncRNA novel transcript, antisense to TRIO